rnacentral:rRNA from 1 species
CCUACGGGAGGCUGCAGUAGGGAAUCUUCCACAAUGGGCGAAAGCCUGAUGGAGCAACGCCGCGUGGGUGAAGAAGGUCUUCGGAUCGUACAACCCUGUUGUUAGAGAAGAAAGUGCGUGAGAGUAACUGCUCACGUUUCGACGGUAUCUAACCAGAAAGCCACGGCUAACUACGUGCCACCAGCAGCGGUAAUACGUAGGUGGCAAGCGUUAUCCGGAUUUAAUGGGCGUAAAGGUAACGUAGGCGGACUUUUAAGUCUGAUGUGAAAGUCUUCGGCUUAACCGGAGUAGUGCAUUGGAAACUGGGAGACGUGAGUGCAGAAGAGGAGAGUGGAACUCCAUGUGUAGCGGUGAAAUGCGUAGAUAUAUGGAAGAACACCAGUGGCGAAAGCGGCUCUCUGGUCUGUAACUGACGCUGAGGUUCGAAAGCGUGGGUAGCAAACAGGAUUAGAUACCCUAGUAGUC